CCUUUUAAGUCCUGAUACCAAAGAGCUUUAGUCUGGAUUAAAUGCAAAAUGCCAAAAUUUCACUUUUAAAAGCAAGCACAAGGGCUAAGUGCAACCUGAGCGUGUUUGUAAACCGUGCAAAACAGGCACUUCUGAGAGCCCCCCCACGCCCAUUUUGUGCAAAUGCUGUUUGCCCCGAGCAUCAGGAACCGAAACUCCUGGGAACUCUCUUUUUUCUGGCCAGCAACGGGAAAGUUUGGGCUCACAGAGGGGAUUUUUAAAUCUCUGAAGGAUUUAAGUCAGUGUGUGUCAUGGAAAAGCCGAGCCCCUCCCAGCUCAAGGUGGCCCCAAGAGGUGGGCCAGGGCCCCCCCCCCUGCAUCCCGCUGCCAGUAGUCAGCACACCUUAGGUGCUCCAUGAUGAAACAAGGAUUCUGCCGAAGAGAUCCACUGCAAUGCACCUGGCUUUCUAGAAGCAAUAAAUGAAAGUCUCUUAUAGUAAAAAGAAAAAAAAAAGAUUGAUGAAGUCGUGAGGGAAGGCAGAGAACAUAGCAUAAUCCAGCGAUUGGAGACUGGCUUCUGAAACUCCAGCAGGAGAUGCUUUAUCCCUUCCUGGCAGCUCUGCAGUGGCCAGCAAAUAAAUAUUUCCACAUGGAAGGCAAUGGUCCUUCAAAACGUAGCUUGUUACAUUCAAGAGAGAUACAGCAAGGUCCCCAGCUUUAGUGGCAAAGGGCAUUAGCCUUGCCUUUAGGAUUCGUGGAUGUAAACACUGAAUCCCACUCCCACCCCCCUUGAUGCUUCAGGAAACAAUGGAGGGACCUCCGUGGACAAAUUACGCCUGCAUUUAAUGCUCUGAUUAUCUGAAGAACGAAGUCCAGCAGUAAUCUUGAGAAGAAGAAUUCACAUUUAAAGUUCGGAAAGUGACAGAACAAAGAGUGAAGAGAAGCCCACAUUAAAAUGAGAUGGGAUGAGAAGAAGAAGAAAGAAGGAAAUCCGUGUGAUCCUGGAGGAAAACCCUUUGAAUAGAACCAAGGCGGAGAUUGGAGGCGACGUCCGCCAGCUCCGAUUUCAGCGGCAGGACAGGCUGCCCCAGAGCCAGGCUUUGUACCACGGAAGCAGCGAGCCUGAAAGAUCUGAACCUGAGGACGGAGGCGAGCGCGGUUCUGCACUCACAUCCUCUCGUGGCGAAGGAGUCGUGCGUCCGUGCGCGCUGCUGGCCGGCAGAACGCAGAGGCAGAUGAUAGAAGCAGCGGGAGGGAGGCCAGGCCCUCCCCCCUGGUCCAGCACGAGGUCCCCCGCGUGCCCUGCAGGCCACGCUGUGCAUCCACUUGUGCCCAAGUCGCUAACCCGGCCGCCCAGCGGCGGCUCCGAGCUCGCGGCCAGCACCGUCCGCGGUCGCCAGCUAAGAGCCCCUGUGCGUGUCCUCCAGCCUGGGAGGGGCUGCCACGGGGGGACACCCACAGGCGGUGUUCUGAGCCCGUGGCAGAGACCCCGUCGGGGUAAGAUGUUGCUGCUAUGUGUUUGCCGCGCUUCACAAGAAAACUUGAUGGGAGAUGUGGAAGGCGCUCACUCACCUCGGUCAGUGUCACACUUCCACGGGGCUCUUGUCACACAGCGAAGCUUCUGGAACACGCAGAGCAGUUAGUGCUAGAUGGAGACGACGCCUGCCAUCGUCCGCUGUGAAAAUCCCACCGUGUCCGCGCUGCCCGCGGCCGGCCUUCCGUGCUGAGACCGACCCGAUAUUAAACUGUGGAAUCUGAUGCCAGCGUAAGGGAGAGUGUUGAUAUUACCAGCUCCCACUCUCCGAGAGCCUUCGGUUCCACGCACUGUGCGUUGCUAUGAGUGCUCCAAGCUUACGAGACCGGGAGCGUCGUACUCAUUCACAGAGGAAGCGGUUGGCAUGUAGGAGGCCGGCGGUCUACCCAGAUCACACAGCACCGAAGUCACAGAGCCGGAGUGAAACGUGAAUCUGAUUGCAAAACGCACGUUCAAUCUGGUCCACUCUGCUGCAGAAGGUCUCAGACAGGACAUGCUGAGCUCUGGAAAAUGGGAAUAACCAGGGAAAGAGCAAUUUUUGACAAUGAAAGACAAUGAUAUGAUAAGACAGUGCAGGGGGUUUGCAGUUCAGGACUUGGAUGGGAUGGACACAUAUGACCCUGUCCCCCCUCUAAGUACAGCCAGAAUCCCUGCACGUGAUGUGAAACAAACAUGCAAAGACUCUGAAAAGUGAAGAGAACAGGCAGACCUGCCAGGCGCGAGAGUGCGCUCCUAGACCCUGAACUGGAUACAGGGAACCAGCAGCCCAGGAGCCCCAGUGGGCACAGGCCAGAGGGCCCAAGAAGAGUCUGCUGUCUCUGGCCAGAGGGGCGGCCUAGCAGGACAGAGGAUUUUGACUCAAUUACUGCCCUACACCUUCCGAACUCCAUGGAGAAAUCCACGAGCAUCACUCCCACCCCCGACCCCAGCAAAGGCUGAGGGGGGACCUAGGGCCAGAACGUUUACUACCGUCUAGUGGGAAGACAGCUGACACCAGCACAGCCGGGUCAUCAGAGAGGCCCAGGGCAAGGCUGGGUACCACCUUGCACCCCUUCCUCAGGGAAACUGGUCGUCCCCUGACCCAGCAGCAAGAACGGCACCCCUCGCCCUGUUAGUGUGGUAUCAGAGGAAGCCUUCCGAAGCAGAAGUCAUCAUAACAGAAUAAUCCAAAUAUCCAGGUUAUAAUAAAAAGGUUACUCAUCAGACCGAGCACCAGGAGAAUCUCAGCCGGAGCGAGAAGAGAUGUUCAGCAGAUACCAACACCAAGAUGACCCAGAUGUUGGUUAUUUGACAAGGAUUUUAAAGCAUCCUCAAAAUAAACUGCUUUGACAAACCAUGACAAACACACUUGAAACAAACAACAACAACAAAAAUAGAAACUCUCAGCAAAGAAAUAAAAGACACAAAGAAGAACCAAAUGGAAAUUUUUAUAACUGAAUAAUGCAAUCACUGAAAUGAAAACCUCAGUGGAUGGGCUCAGAAGCAGACUGGAGAGGACAGAGGAAAGAACCGGUGAACUUGAGGAUGGACAGCAGAAAUUUCCCCAUCUGAGGAACAGAGAGAAAACAGACUGGAAAAAAGAACGUGGGCAGAGCCUCAGGGAGCUGUGCACCUAGAACAAAAGAGCGAACAUCCUGUCAUCAGAGUCCCAGGAGGAGGAGAAAGAAGUGGGCCCAGAAAGGCAUUCCAAGAAAUGUGGAUGAAAAGUUCCCCAAUGCAGCAAAAGACAAACACCUACACAUCCAAGAAGCAGAGUGAACCCCCAACAGUAUAAACCCCAAAACUGCCUGACAGGAAGAUCAUACUCCAACUCCAACCCCCUUGCAGGGCUUCCUAUUGCUAAAUGGUAAGAACAUUUUAUUUUUUAUAUCACAGAAUUAAAUAAUGACAUAAAAAUUCUCCAUUUAAGAUAGAAUAAUUUUCUAUCAUGUAUCUAAAAGCAUAUUAACUAAGUACAUGUGAUAGUGGACAUAUAAAAAUAUAAAUAUUAUAGACACAUAUCAAUUGGCUUUUAAAUAACAAAAUGCAAGAAUUCCAAAUAGACUAUGUGCUUUUUGCUGUUUUUGAUAUUAUGACAUGAAGAUAUAUGUCCAUCUACAUUUUAGGAUAUGUAAUGAGCUGAAACCAAACACGAUAUAAUAUCUUAUUUGAAAAUGCAUUUGUCAACAAAUCAUGCUUUUACCACGUAAUUAUUUUAAAAUAAAUUAAAUGGAGAAUAUCACUGUUGCCAUAGGGACAGUUGAAAUGCAUCUUUAUGUAUAAUCAAAAUGAUCAACAUUUGUGUUAAAAUGAACGUUAUAAUGAAAUCUUUAGUGACAUACCAGUCAAAAAAUGCUUUUUUAACUUACUGCUUCUUCAUUAUGUAC